GGUAUUGUCCCGUGUUUGGAGUUUACAUCCGGCUCAUAACCCGAAGGUCGAAGGUUCAAAUCCUUCCAGCGCUA
rnacentral:tRNA from 1 species